rnacentral:rRNA from 1 species
GAUGAACGCUGGCGGCGUGCCUAAUACAUGCAAGUCGAGCGAACGGACGAGAAGCUUGCUUUUCUGAUGUUAGCGGCGGACGGGUGAGUAACACGUGGAUAACCUACCUAUAAGACUGGGAUAACUUCGGGAAACCGGAGCUAAUACCGGAUAAUAUUUUGAACCGCAUGGUUCAAAAGUGAAAGACGGUCUUGCUGUCACUUAUAGAUGGAUCCGCGCUGCAUUAGCUAGUUGGCAAGGUAACGGCUUACCAAGGCAACGAUGCAUAGCCGACCUGAGAGGGUGAUCGGCCACACUGGAACUGAGACACGGUCCAGACUCCUACGGGAGGCAGCAGUAGGGAAUCUUCCGCAAUGGGCGAAAGCCUGACGGAGCAACGCCGCGUGAGUGAUGAAGGUCUUCGGAUCGUAAAACUCUGUUAUUAGGGAAUAACAUAUGUGUAAGUAACUGUGCACAUCUUGACGGUACCUAAUCAGAAAGCCACGGCUAACUACGUG